rnacentral:rRNA from 1 species
CCUACGGGUGGCUGCAGUGGGGAAUAUUGCACAAUGGGGGAAACCCUGAUGCAGCAACGCCGCGUGAGUGAUGACGGCCUUCGGGUGGUAAAGCUCGGUCUGCAGGGACGAGAAUGACGGUACCUGAGGAGGAAGCCACGGCUAACGACGUGCCAGCAGCCGCGGUAAUACGGAGGUGGCGAGCGUUGUCCGGAUUUACUGGGCGUAAAGGGAGCGUAGGCGGACUUUGAAGUGAGCUGUGAAAUACUCGGGCUCAACGUGAGUGCUGCAUUUCAAACUGGCAGUCUAGAGUGCAGGAGAGGUGACUGGACUUCCUCGUGUAGCGGUGACAUGCGU